UAACCUUGAAAUUGCUCGAGCCAACAUACCAUUAGAAAUGGAAAAAGAGGAUUGGGAUUACCUUGUGAAUCUUUGGAUUGAUGAAGGCUGGCAUGUUUGUACUUCACAUGACAUAAUAAUUGUUAAUUGACUUAGAUUUAACUAGCCUAUUUUAUCACAUGUUAUGACAUAUUUUGUUAAUUAUUAGAAAAUAAGUCAAUAAAACAAAAUGAGUCGAGUUGCAAAUAGUAUUAUCCAUACCACUGGUGUUAAGGGAGCCCAACAAAGAGCUAAAGAGGCGUUUGAGCAAACAGGACAAGAAAUUGACCGUCUUCGUCUUUGGGAGCUUAUGCAUACCCGUGCUAAUGGACAAGCUUGCAAUGAAGAAACUCAAGAAAAACUUGAUUUACUUAAGGAAUUAGGGUAAUGCUACUGUGCUGAAGGAAAUUUUUUUCCUCAGCUGCUGAAAUCAUGUGGCUAGGCGAAGGGAUUGACGCGUGUUGUGAUGCUGUCAAUCAUCCUGCAAAGUGCUGCUCCAUACGCAGAAUUUGCAGAAAUUGUCGAUGGAAUUGAUGGAGGAUUAGUUGGUAAUCAUAUGAGUAAUCUUGUGGAUUUUUUGUCCGGUGUUUUGAAGAAAUUUUUUGGUCUAUGGUGUUGGGCUUUUAUUUUGUUGGUAUAGUUUAAAUGUUGUGUGAUCAAAGGGAUAUAAUGCCAAUAAUGUUGUGCAGGAAGAAUAAAAUAAGAUAUGGUCCUAAGGAAUAAUAAUAACAAUAACAGAAAAAUAAAAAAAACAAUGACCAAAAAAAUGACCAAAAUAACGAUUAUUUAUUUAUUCAUUGGGUAUAUUUUUCACUGUAUAUAUAAUACUAUAUUUAUUUUGAAUUUUUAGAUGAAUUAAUGAAGCAUUCUUUACUAGAUAUUUAGACUGUCAUUAUUUUAGUUGUCAAAAUUUUUGUCCAAAAUUGGGAAGAAUUAAAAAUCCGAAAAGAAGCUUCCUCCAUUAGCCCACAGAAAGAAUGAGGAAAUUACUAUCUUACACUUGUGUUGUGUUGUUUCCUUUUGAUACACCUUUGACUUUUCUUUUUUUUUUUUUAACCAAUUUUCAUUGAUCAUUUUAUCUCUCUGUUAGUUUUUUUCCUCUUUUUCGUUUCUCCAAAUCAAAUGACUUCUUUUGACACGAUGUC